CCAAUGUUGCUCAUCUAGGCUCCGUGUGGCCUCAUGCAUUUACCCUAGAGUCAAGUUAACCAGCGACUGUAAAUCAAGUCAGCACAUACACUCACGUGUAUUGCGAAUUUGCCGUGGCGUAGGCGCAGCAAGCAACACGGCUAGAAUUGUAUGGGAUACGCUUUGAGGGAGAGAAUACGCAGAGGAGAUCUGGGGAUACAAGCAAUGGGACUGCUCCGGGAGCCGAUGCCCACCUUAUGAGCCAAGGGGCCUCAAGCGCAGUAACAACUCUGACGUGCUGGGGAGAUCGAAACAGACGCACGAUGCUGGGGAACUGUGGCGGCCAGGCAGCAUCCAUGGAAAAGAGACCGUUUCGGGCUGAGACCCUUCAUCAGGACUAGAAAGGAAGGAAGAGGAAGUCAUUUAAAAAAAAUUACAACAGCCAUAGAUAGGAUGCUCCCUGGCCUGCUGGGUUCCUGCAGCAUUUUGUGCGUGUUGAUAAAUAUCUCGGAUGGGUGGAAGAGAGACCCCGAUGAUCUUCUCAGCGGUCCUCACCGUCGUUCGUAGGGUCUUGCAGUCAAAUGCACCACCCAGGUCAUCCUGUCUUCUUGCUGUUGCCAUCAGGAAGAAGGUGAUGGUUGACCUGCUGAGCUCCUCCAACAUUCUGUAUCUCACUCUAGCAUUUGUGGUCUCCUCUUCAACAUUUGGAAGGUGCCUGAUUAAGGAGAACGGACCCUUACAGUGCAGAAUUCCAAGUCACUUGUAUUAAAGGAAGAGCUUGAUUAAUGAUGGAUCCCAGGACAACAUCAACCAUAGCUCAGUUUAUCAACUGUGAGUUCAAUUCAUGCCUGUUAUACCCUUCACACCAGUACUGGGUGGCUACCCACGUGUAGGGUAGUAAACCAAGUGCCAUGGUGAUUGCUAUUGACUCAAAGUAUAUUAAUUAUUCAAAGAUUCAAAGUACAUUUAUUAUCAAAGAAUGUAUAAAUUAUACAACCCUGGAAUUUAUUUGCUCACAACUUGCCACAAAGCAAGAAACUGAAAAAAAAAACCCAAUUGAAGAAAAAAGUAAAAAUAAAAGAACAGUCGAUGCACAAGAGAAAGGAAAGAAAAACACAAAUCAUGCAAACAAUCGAAGUGAACAGCAUUCCAAACCAAAUUGAGUCCUCAGAUCUGGCCCUGGAGCAACCGGGACUAGGCCCAAAGCCUCACUUGUAAGUUCAUCACAUUAGCGGGAAUGGAGCACAGCAGCCGGGGCAGUUUUCAUAGCCUCAGUGCCAUGGAGAGAGGGGUGACCAUCACAGAGAGCGAGUGAAAUUGGCUCUUGUCUGAGACCCUGACACCCUUUCUUUUCACUUUGUCUUGGCCGGUAUUUAUCUUGAACAAACAAUGGAACAGUGAAAGGUGCCAGCAUCAUAGAGAGGGGAGAAAACUUUGCAGUGAGCAAGUGAAAUCGGCUCUUGCCUCCAAUCUGGGCCAGAUUUUAAAUGAUCUAAAUAGCAUAUUAUACCUCGCACUAGGACCCGGCUACUGUGAAGGCCUCAGGGCCUAGACCAUGCUGCCCUUUGACUUGCUCUGGGCCCAGAUUUCACCAUCCAGUCCAAAGCCAUUCCUCAGCUCUUCAUAUCAGCUUGACACCCUGGCCAGUUGUAACGGCACCGAAUCUCCUCUGCCUCACCUCCUCCUCUUAGCACCCAGAGCGAUUCAGCCUCCAACCCAGACCAAUUGUACAGGCAUCAGAACUCCUCUCCGAAUGGCUCUCUCCAUCUGCAUCAAUUCUGCAACACACCAUUCUAACUGAUUCCCCGAACUCACUUCGCCUUCGCUUUCCCCCUCACUGUUUGUGGUGAGAACCUAACACAAUUUACCUCAGAAAAGGUGCUUUUAAUGAUAUUUUUAGUCGAAGUUCUUGCCAUUUUAACUACCAGAGAGAUGUUGCAUGUGAUUGGUCGUAUCAUCUUAACCAGAAGUGCUAUAUGUCUAUGAAGGCUCCUAGUCAUCCAGGCCAUUAGCAAUAGUAAAUUAAGGCAACUGGACUUCUUGUGUUGUCUGGAAGACGUUUCGGCACUCACCCAAGAGAGUUCUUCAGUUCUAA